rnacentral:rRNA from 1 species
GGAUUAGAAACCCGGGUAGUCCACGCCGUAAACGAUGAUGACUAGCUGUCGGGGCUCUUGGAGUUUCGGUGGCGCAGCUAACGCGUUAAGUCAUCCGCCUGGGGAGUACGGCCGCAAGGUUAAAACUCAAAGAAAUUGACGGGGGCCUGCACAAGCGGUGGAGCAUGUGGUUUAAUUCGAAGCAACGCGCAGAACCUUACCAGCGUUUGACAUGGUAGGACGGCUUCCAGAGAUGGAUUCCUUCCCUUACGGGACCUACACACAGGUGCUGCAUGGCUGUCGUCAGCUCGUGUCGUG